UACCUAUUUUUUCCCCAGUUAUAUCAUGGUUUGUGUUUCCAUUAAACCCAUCUGGGUAUGUUUUGGUGUGUGAUAGGAGUUCUUCUAAUUGUCUGAGGGCAAGUUAUUAAAUAGCCCUUUAUUUCCUCUAUGGUUUUAGGAAUGAAAAUUUUAUCAUAAACUAAAUACGGGUGUUUUUAUGUUUCUGGGAUGGUUUGCUCCCUUCUGCUGCACUUCCUAGACCCCAAGGGGGUCCUCAGACUUGCCCCCAUUAAGGAAUGCUCAGGACGUCUGCGUUUCUGCCCAUGGAGGCUCACACUGGACCAUAGAGAGACAAGCCGGGGACGGUGAGCACGUGACCGUGGAGCGUGCACCCAGGAGUGCGCGUGCGCGUGCGCGUGCGGGCGCGCACGCGCGCUCCAAGAGGACGCGGAUUUUGAUCCCAUUUCCUACUUAAUUCAGAUGGUGGCGGCCGAGGAUAGGAUGUCCUUCAACGUUCAUCUCUCACUUCCGGCCCACCAGCAGUCGGCUGCCACUCUGUCCUCGCUGCCUCAGCCGUCCUUUACUCGGGCCUCCUUCCAUCUGCCAUUCUUCCUCUCUCCUGCAACUCCAUCGUCUCCGUCCCCCGAAACACACAGAGGAUGAGAGGGUCUGGUGUGUGGAGUGGAUGGUGACGAGUCCCGAGGGAGAGAGAGAGAGAGCAUGCAUGACAGGCAGAGGGGGAGAGAAUCCCAAGAAGGCUCCAUGCCCAGCUUGGAGCCCCUUACAGAACUCCAACUCAUGACCAUGAGAUCAUGACCUGAGCCGAAAUCAAGAGUCAGAUGCUUAACCGACUGACCACCCAGGCCUGCUCUCAAAAUCCUGAACCCUCAAUGGAAACUGGAUACAAAUUUUGGACGGAGAUCAUUUGUCAAAAAUCAGAGAGAUAAGCAUCCUACCAGAAAGAUAUUGAUUACUUAUACACUCUUUAAUGAGUUUCUGCAUGUGUUUUUAUAAUGUAGAUUAUUCUUCAUUACCUGAACAGAAAUACCAGUCCCCUCAAUUAUUAAAAAAAAAAGCCUAUUGAAGUAUAAUUACAUUCAGUAAAGUGGCAUAGUUUAAAGCAAACAAUUUGGUAGGGUUUUUGGUUUUUUUUUACAUUUUAUUUAUUUUUGAGAGAGAGAGAGAGAGAGAGAGAGAGAGA